GGAUGAGCCCGCGGCCUAUCAGCUCGUUGGUGAGGUAACGGCUCACCAAGGCGAUGACGGGUAGCUGGCGUGAGAGCGCGAUCAGCCACACUGGGACUGGGACACGGCCCAGACUCCUACGGGAGGCAGCAGUGGGGAAUCUUGCACAAUGGGCGAAAGCCUGAUGCAGCGACGCCGCGUGGGGGAGGAAGGCCCUAGGGUUGUAAACCCCUGUCAGGCGGGAAGAAACUCGGGUCGGCGAACAGUCGGUCCGAUUGACGGUACCGCCAGAGGAAGCUCCGGCUAACUCCGUGCCAGCAGCCGCGGUAAAACGGAGGGAGCGAGCGUUGUCCGGAAUUACUGGGCGUAAAGGGCGCGUAGGCGGCCGCGUGAGUCGUAUGUGAAAGGCCAGGGCUUAACCCCGGCACUGCAUGCGAUACUGCGUGGCUAGAGACAGGCAGGGGCGAGCGGAAUUCCCGGUGUAGCGGUGGAAUGCGUAGAUAUCGGGAGGAACACCCGUGGCGAAGGCGGCUCGCUGGGCCUCGUCUGACGCUGAAGCGCGAAAGCGUGGGGAGCGAACAGGAUUAGAUACCCUGGUAGUCCACGCCGUAAACGCUGGGUACUAGAUGUCGGGGGGCUUGGCCCCCUCGGUGUCGCAGCUAACGCAUUAAGUACCCCGCCUGGGGAGUACGG
rnacentral:rRNA from 1 species